GACGAACGCUGGCGGCGUGCUUAACACAUGCAAGUCGAACGGUGAAGCUCCAGCUUGCUGGAGUGGAUCAGUGGCGAACGGGUGAGUAACACGUGAGCAACCUGCCCCUGACUCUGGAAUAAGCGCUGGACACGGCGUCUAAUACUGCAUACGAGAAGGUUCCGCAUUGGCACUUUCUGUAAAGUUUUUCGGUUGGGGAUGUGCUCGCGGCCUAUCAGCUUGUUGGUGAGGUAAUGGCUCACCAAGGCGACCACGGGUAGCCGGCCUGAGAGGGCGACCGGCCACACGGGGACGGAGACGGGGCCCGGCCUCCUACGGGAGGAAGGAGUGGGGAAUAUUGCGCAAAGGGCGAAGGCAGGAUGGAGCGACGCCGGGUGGGGGAUGACGGCCUUCGGGUGGGAAACCUCUUCAGCAGGGAAGAAGAGAAAGUGACGGUACCUGCAGAAGAAGCACCGGCUAACUACGUG
rnacentral:rRNA from 1 species